rnacentral:rRNA from 1 species
AUUGAACGCUGGCGUCAUGCUUUACACAUGCAAGUCGAACGCGAAAGGGGGCAACCCUGAGUAGAGUGGCGCACGGGUGAGUAACGUAUCGGAACAUACCCGGUAGUGGGGGACAACCAGUCGAAAGACUGGCUAAUACCGCAUACGACCUACGGGUGAAAGCGGGGGACCGUAAGGCCUCGCGCUAUUGGAUUGGCCGAUGUCGGAUUAGCUAGUUGGUGGGGUAAAAGCCCACCAAGGCGACGAUCCGUAGCUGGUCUGAGAGGAUGACCAGCCACACUGGGACUGAGACACGGCCCAGACUCCUACGGGAGGCAGCAGUGGGGAAUUUUGCACAAUGGGGGAAACCCUGAUCCAGCCAUGCCGCGUGAGUGAAGAAGGCCUUCGGGUUGUAAAGUUCUUUCGGCCGGGAGGAAAUCGCCCUGGUUAAUAUCCACGGUGGAUGACGGUACCGGAAGAAGAAGCACCGGCUAACUACGUGCCAGCAGCCGCGGUAAUACGGAGGGUGCCAGCGUUAAUCGGAAUUACUGGGCGUAAAGCGUGCGCCGGCGGUUU